rnacentral:lncRNA from 1 species
GAGUGGACACUCGGGGUGCAGCAGACAGUGGACGCGAGGCACAGCGACUACCAGUCACCCACCUGAGCCUCCUGCCACAGCCUUCAUCUCCGUCUUGGGCGUCUGCCCCCUGUACCUGGAUGAGAUCCGGCACUUCCUGACCCUAUGUCCAGAGCUGUCCCUGGGCUGGUUCGAGGAGGGCUGCCUUGUGGCCUUCAUCAUCGGCUCGCUCUGGGACAAGGAGAGACUCAUGC